CCUACGGGAGGCAGCAGUGAGGAAUAUUGGUCAAUGGACGCAAGCCUGAACCAGCCAUGCCGCGUGCAGGAUGACGGCCCUAUGAGUUGUAAACUGCUUUUGUACGAGGGUAAACCCCGAUACGUGUAUCGGGUUGAAAGUAUCGUACGAAUAAGGAUCGGCUAACUCCGUGCCAGCAGCCGUGGUAAUACGGAGGAUCCGAGCGUUAUCCGGAUUUAUUGGGUUUAAAGGGUGCGUAGGCGGUUUGAUAAGUUAGGGGUGAAAUGUCGGGGCUCAACCCCGGAACUGCCUUUAAUACUGUUGGACUAGAGAAUGGUUGCGGUAGGCGGAAUGUAUGGUGUAGCGGUGAAAUGCUUAGAGAUCAUACAGAACACCGAUUGCGAAGUCAGCUUACCGAACUAUAUCUGACGUUGAGGCACGAAAGCGUGGGUAGCAAACAGGAUUAGAUACCCUUGUAGUC
rnacentral:rRNA from 1 species